GGGAGUAUACCUCAACGGUAGAGUACUUGCUUAUCAUGUGUGAGGUCUUGGGUUUGAUUCCUAGUGCUGUCA
rnacentral:tRNA from 1 species